UACGUAGGGUGCAAGCGUUAAUCGGAAUUACUGGGCGUAAAGCGUGCGCAGGCGGUUUUGUAAGUCUGUCGUGAAAUCCCCGGGCUCAACCUGGGAAUUGCGAUGGAGACUGCAAGGCUAGAAUCUGGCAGAGGGGGGUAGAAUUCCACGUGUGAGCAGUUGAAAUGCGUAGAGAUAGUGGAGGAACACCGAUGGCGAAGGCAGCCCCCUGGGUCAAGAU
rnacentral:rRNA from 1 species